GACGAACGCUGGCGGCGUGCUUAACACAUGCAAGUCGAACGGUGAAGCGCCUUCCUUUUUGGUGGGUGUGGAUGAGUGGCGAACGGGUGAGUAACACGUGAGUAACCUGCCCCCUUCUUCUGGAUAACCGCAUGAAAGUGUGGCUAAUACGGGAUAUUCUGGGUCUGUCGCAUGAUGGGUCUGGGAAAGAUAUUGUUUCGGUGGGGGAUGGGCUCGCGGCCUAUCAGCUUGUUGGUGGGGUGAUGGCCUACCAAGGCGGUGACGGGUAGCCGGCCUGAGAGGGUGGACGGUCACACUGGGACUGAGACACGGCCCAGACUCCGACGGGAGGCAGCAGGGGGGAAUAUUGCACAAUGGGCGCAAGCCUGAUGCAGCGACGCCGCGUGAGGGAUGGAGGCCUUCGGGUUGUGAACCUCUUUCGCCAGUGAAGCAGGCCUGCCUCGUUUGUGGGUGGGUUGACGGUAGCUGGAUAAGAAGCGCCGGCUAACUACGU
rnacentral:rRNA from 1 species